UCCCUGCUCAUGGAAGUGAUCUCCCUGGAUGUGGGUGAAAUGUCCACUACCGCUAAUUUAAUUGCAAGUGGAAUCCUCUACUGCCUGAAAGUAAUUCACAUUUUUCAAUAGCUGGUACUGAAAAAACAGGUUUUACUGGAACUGUUUUUCUUGAAAAUGAAGUCAAGAGAGACUACUAAGAAUCCCUAUUGCUGGCUUGUGUGUCAGUGACUGAUGACUGAUGCAGAGGGACACAUUCCGAUAUCAUUUACUCUUCAAUGAAGCUGCUGGAUUUACAUCUGGUUACUUUGGAAAAACUAAGGUCAGAAUCUAUAUCUGAAUCCUCUUGGCAAACAAUAUCUUAGCCUUUUCAAAGACACUUUUGAAGUUAUUUUUUUAUGCUUAAUUAGUAAAUAAAAUUA